CCUACGGGUGGCAGCAGUGAGGAAUAUUGGGCAAUGGAGGCAACUCUGACCCAGCAAUGCCGCGUGAGUGAAGAAGGUUUUCGGAUUGUAAAGCUCUGUCGGAUGUGACGAUGAUGACGGUAGCAUCUAAAGAAGCCCCGGCCAACUUCGUGCCAGAAGCCGCGGGAAUAAGAAGGGGGCAAGCGUUGUUCGGAAUUACUGGGCGGAAAGGGAGGGUUGGCGGUUUAGUAAGGUAGGGGUGAAAUCCCAGAGCUUAACUUUGGAAUUGCCAGUAUAACUUUUAAAAUAGAAUGACAGAGAGGAUAGUGGAAUACCCGGUGUAGAGGUGAAAUGCGUAGAUAUUGGGUAGAACACCAGAGGCGAAGGCGACUAUCUGGCUGUACAUUGACGCUGAGGCUCGAAAGCAUGGGGAGCAAACAGGAUUAGAUACCCCUGUAGUC
rnacentral:rRNA from 1 species